UCAUUCGAAAAGCACUCACACACGCUGAAUAGUUUGAAGCGGGUUUCUCAACUACUGUAGCGACACAGGAACAUUUAGAACACGGCGAACAAAACCAAAACUUUACUUACAAUAAACUGGAUUAAGUCUACAAAUCCAUCCAAUUGCCAAAGUUGAAGAAGUUGGUCUUAGUGAAGUUCCUCACCUGCACACGCAGCUUGUGAGCAGCUACUGCAGACUUUAUACUGUGUUUAGCUGAUCAGCUUGUGAAAGCACAUCACGUCACACAUGCUGGAUUUGUGUGUCCCUGGAUCAAUGAGUAAUACAAGUCUCGGGGGUUUUGAGAAGAGAUUGCCUCAUAGCGAGUAUGUUCUGCCACCUCCUUCCACAGCCACGCCUGUGAAAACACAGAAGAGAACAUGUUCCUUCACUCAGUGGCUCCAAAAGAGGACAAACAGACCCUUCCUGUGGCCGUGGGCCAUGGCUUGGGCACCGUUCAGGCAUCAUGAGGCACAGCGUGUUAGUGGUAAUGUCCUCUGGUUAACUUCAAGACACACGGAAAAGGAGACAGACCCUGAAACAACAUACUGCAAACCAGAGAUGGACAGAGA